AUGAAUAACACAUCUGCUGACUCAUGACUAGAUGAUUUUAUAGACUCAGUAAGUUUCUAGUGCCCCUGUGACAACAAGCUGUGGCCCCCCUAAAUGUGGAGUGUGAAAUAAUUUUUACAAAAUUGUUUUUUGCGAUCGUUGUUUUUUUUACAUCCGAUAUUAGACAGUGGCAACGCGGAACAGAAAUGUAACCCACAUAUUUUCUAGAGUGACUGCUUAAAGCAGAACACAACAGUAUCGCAAAAUGUGCAACGUGCAGUUUUUUUCUACUCAGAAGUUGGUGGAUGUUUUGCUCAAAUAUUAUUAUUGAAGACUUCAAGCAAAGAAGGAAAUAUAGAGAUAUCAGCAAAUCCCGGGAAGAACCACCUGUGCAGCCAAUAAUGAAUACAUACCCAAGAACUCUGAUGGGGGACCGGAGGAGGAGCUUCAAGGCAGCCUGGUACCAUAUCCACCCCUGGCUUGAAUAUUCCAAACAAUCAGACUCUGUGUUUUGUUAUGCCUGCAGGCAUUUUAGCCCUCCCAAAGUCUCAGAGAUGGUAUUUGAUUCAAAAUUGGGUUUUAACAAUUGGAAAAAGGCAACUUACAAACAGGGGGGAUUUGCAAUUCAUGCAAGGUCUGAGCGGCACAAACAAGCAAUGAUUACAUGGAGAGACUAUCAGAAAGCUGUAAAAAGUAAUGCAACACUGGUAAAUGCCCUAAACAAGGAACACAACAAACAGGUUCAAGAAAAUCGGGACUAUAUUAAAACAACAGGAGAAAUACUACUACUUACAGUCACACAAAACAUCGCACAAAGAGGACACGAUGAGUCAGAUAAUAAAGGGAACUUCGUGGCAAUCUUAGAAACAAUAGCUAAGCAUGACAAAACUGUGCAAAAAAGGUUGACUUCCAUUCAUAAUGCAAAAUAUACUAGCAAAGGGAUUCAGAAUGAGGUUUUGAGUUGUUUGGCAGACAUGGUUCGAACAAACAUGAUCGAAGAAGUGAAAGACAGUGAGGUCUAUAGCAUAAUUGCAGAUGAAACAAAAGAUGUAAAAAAAAAAAAAGGAGCAGAUAUCUCUAGUACUCAGGUACUAUUUCAGUGGGGCUGUCCAUGAGAGCUUUCUCCAAUUUGAAUCGGCUGAUCGACUAGAUGCAGCAGGGCUUACUGACAAAAUCAUAUAUGUAUUAGAAAAUCAUGGUCUUGAAUACAAAAACAACCUAGUAGGCCAAGCAUAUGACGGUGCUUCAGUUAUGAGUGGCAAGCAUUCAGGUGUCCAGGCACGCAUUAAAGAACAAGCAAAGCAUGCCUUUUACAUCCACUGCAAUGCACACUGUCUGAAUUUAGUUUUAGUGGAUACAGUCAAAGCUAUCCCUGAGGUAGGAGAAUUCUUCACCUUACUAGAAAUACUGUAUGUAUUCACAUCUGGGUCAUAUGUGCAUCAAAAAUGGCUUAGGAUACAGAAAGAGAUGUACCCAGGUGCACCGGCUAGAGAGCUUCAGAGGCUAGGUGACACUCGCUGGGCAUGUCGAUAUAUGGCUUUACACACUAUUAUGGAUAGAUUGCCUGCCAUUAAGCAAGUCCUGCAAGACAUAGUCCAAGAACACAGUGGUGACAGAUCUGUUGAGGCUAGAGGUCUGCUUGCACAGAUAGAUUUACAGUUCAUUGUGUGCCUUGUUACCCUCCAUAAAGUGUUAGGAGAAGCAAAAUGUCUAUCAGAUAUGCUACAGUCUUCAUCACUUGACCUGUCAAAGGCUGUUGAUUUAGUUGAAGCCUUAGUUCAGACUUUGAAUGAUUACAGGGAUGAGUCAUUUUUUGAUGACCUAUGGAGCAAUGUGAUACUGUAAUACAGCCCCCUGCAAAACGACCAAAAAAGCUAAGCUCUCAAUUUAAUGCAGACUGUGUACUCAGUACAGUGGGUCAGAGGUCAGAUUCAGAACGAGAAAAAGAGAGUUUUUGCACAACCCUUUUCUACCCUGUUUUAGAUCAGAUGCUCAAUGAGCUUAACAGAAGGUUUUCUAGCAAAAACUGUGAAAUAAUGACUGGCAUCCAAACUCUAAACCCUACAAGUGAUGUGUUUCUCAAAGAAAAGUCUCUGUUUCCAUUUGCUAGAAUGUACGAAUCAAAUAUUGAGGACUUGGGGCAUGAACUACAUCAGUUCAGAAGAAUUUUAGAAAGGAAAUUACAGAGUGGCAUGCAGAAACCCUCCAGUGUAGUAGAGCUGGCAUUAUUCAUUGAACCUUAUAAAGAAGUUUUCUUUGAGCUUUUUAAACUAUGCAAGAUAGCUGUUUCAAUCCCUGUUAGUACUGCUUCUUGUGAACAGAGUUUUUCUGCACUAAAGCUGGUGAAAACCUAUCUCAGGUCCACAAUGUCAGAUGACAGAUUAAGCAAUUUAGGUGUGCUGAGUAUUGAGUCAAGGAGGGCAAAGGCCUUAAAUUUAGAUGAAUUUGUUAAUCUUUUUGCAAAAAACCACAAAAACCUUAGGAUACAGUUACUGUGACUGAUACUGUAUGUUAUGUAAAUGUAAAAAUAUAAGUAAAAUGCAAAAUUCAAGCCAGUUGAAAUGGUCUAGAACCGCCACCGUGUGUGUGUGUGUGUUCAUUGCUCUGUGUGUGCACCUUGGAUGGGUUAAAUGCAGACAACAAAUUCUGAGUAUGGGUCACCACACUUAGCCGUAUGUCACUUUCACUUUUAAAAAACUUCAUUAAAUCGUUAGUGUGGAGCGACAGCAGGACAUCAGUGACCGUCACGAACAAAUGGUCUGUGACUGUGAUUACCAUUUAAAGUGACCAUGUGGUGAUAAAAAUUGUAACAAUACCAAGCCAAGGUGUACGUGACCAUGAUUAACAUUUAAAGACAUACGGCUAGACAACAAGGUCAAUCCCAGACAUUUGGGAGACACUCAGCUCUUAAGCUCAAUACACAUUCAAAGCUGUGAGUGUUAUUAUUGUUUGUGAGUUGUGAGUGUUAUUGUUUAAGUUGUGUGUUAUUGUUUGUUACUGUAGUUGAACUCGAGGCCAGACGCAGUGUGUCUGUUCCCGCAGCAGUAAGACUUUUGAGUUCAAAAACCCGAUGUAUUGUGGCUGUUUUGUUCAUUUGCGUCCGAAGUACUGGAGCUGUGAAUAAGUAAACGUUAACUAGACAACCUGUAGUCACUGAAACUGUGUACAAGAUUUAAGAAAAGUUUUGAGUUUGUAAAAAUGGAACAGCUGAUUGUUAAGUACAUCGCUAAACACGGUUCUCAGGGAAUGUUUGAUGGAAUAGAGAACAUUGUUGAUAAACCGUAUCAGGUUGUUUCUAAGCUUAAAAAUGAUCCUAAAAUGCCCAAGAACAAAAAAGGAAAAAUUGCCAAUGCACUGCAAGCAGUUCUUGCAUCAUACAAAGUAACUAGAAAGACUUUAACUGCAUUAAAGGCUGAAAAUGAGUAACUGCAAUCUAUAGAUGAUGGGAUAAUCUCUAAAAGAGAUUACCAGAUUAGUGAAAUACUGUUGUUAGGAUGCAGAAUUAGAUUGCACUCCUUAAAACUAACAACAGCAUGCAUAGUUUGCAACUGUGACAAGCAGCAGUAAGACAAUGUGGCAUGUUGUGUAAUCAAGUUCCUGAAAUGCUAAACAGUGAUGGGAACUCAUAAAGAGAUUCUCAGUCAGUCAGUAGUCAAAACUCUGACUGUGCAGUUAGAUUUCCUAUGGCUCCAAUUCACCUGACUACAACUAUGCAUGCUAAUGAAGGAGCGGAGGAACCAAUGACCUCUACUAUGGUCAGAGGGUUUAAUCACAAUGAGCUAGAAGCUGUGAUUAAAACUAUUGGUAAAUUUGAUCCUGCCAAACAAGAUCCAUAAGAUUUUCUAAAGGUUUUCAAGCUAUAUGCUGACAUUAACAAAUUUACAGAUGGUGAUGCAUGUGUAUUGUUAACUGUGUGUUUGCCUGACACUUUGUCUGGACCGUUAAAUCAGGAAGUCAAAACUAGAGCUGCCAAUAGGUUCGAGAGGAAACAGGCACUGCUUGAAGUCCUAGGUGUAAUGUCCGUUGACUGGGAUAAAAUAUCUGAUGUGCAAAUGAAGAAAGGGGAGCACCCCAUGGUACUUUCAGAGUGUUUAUGGGAGACAUUUAAAACCAGAAUCAGAAAGAUCUUUAUUGCCAAGUAUGUUUUCACAUACGAGGAAUUUGUUCUCGUACAGAAGCUCGACAGUGUAAACAGAAUGGCAAGACAGGAACACAUAUAUAAUAAAGGCAGUUGUAUGUACAGUGGAUAAUAAAGGCAGUUGUAUGUACAGUACAGUGGAUAAUAAAGGCAGUUGUAUGUACAGUGGAUAAUGCAGUUGUAUGUACAGUACAGUGGAUAAUAAAGGCAGUUGUAUGUACAGUGGAUAAUGCAGUUGUAUGUACAGUACAGUGGAUAAUAAAGGCAGUUGUAUGUACAGUGGAUUAUAAAGGCAGUUGUAUGUACAGUACAGUGGAUAAUAAAGGCAGUUGUAUGUACAGUGGAUAAUAAAGGCAGUUGUAUGUACAGUGGAUAAUAAAGGCAGUUGUAUGUACAGUACAGUGGAUAAUAAAGGCAGUUGUAUGUACAGUGGAUAAUAAAGGCAGUUGUAUGUACAGUGGAUAAUAAAGGCUUUCUGUGGCAAUCCUGACAUCACUCCGAAUGAUGUCAGUUUUAAUCUGCUUUGAUUAACAAAUGUGACCCACUGACCCGUUCUGCUGUGUCGAUGUUUGUAACCCAUCUCUCUGAUUAUAAUGACAUCAUUGCUAAAAUGACACAGUUUUUCAACAACAAUGCUAACGCAAGGAACGUCCAUCCUGUGUCAGCAGUAGGUGUUAAAAACCUCAAUAAGAAUAGAGCCAGCCAGGUUUCCUGGAAAAAUGAGAACUACACUACUGGAGAUAGAAAGGAAAGACUCCUACUCUUAACCCUGAUAACCUGCUGGUGUGUUAUUCAUGUGGAAAAGAGGGACAUAUUUCAAGGGACUGCAAAUUUUCCCUUAAGAGAACAGGCCACAAAACUAUUUAAACCAGUUACAGGCUACAGUAAACAGACUGAGAAAGGAGCUCAAGAAUCUGUGUAACACCUUGCCUGUUGUUUUUCACUAAGCCACUCAGCAAAUUUGGCAAAGUCAGAAAAACAAAAUGCACUCUGGUCAGAAUGUGCACCAUCACAAAUUUAAAAUUAGUGAUGAAGUCAUGGUAAAGAAUUACCAACAUGAGGGCCCAUGGUCUGCUCACUGGGAGAGACCAGGCAGAGAUUCACAAGCUAAAAACCAACAACCUGGAAAGAGAUCAUUCCACAUAGAUCCAUUAAUAUAAUAAAAAGCUUAUGGCAGUCAUAAGGGCCAUGUAAAUAGGCAAGUUUAUGUUGUAUGUGUUUGUAAUGUUUUUUGUGUUGUGUUUAUAAAAGGGGGGGUAAAUUCAUUAUGUUUUCAAGUGUUUUUCAGGUCGAAAAGAAAUAAAGAUGUGGGGAUGGACAAAAAAGGCAGCUCUGAUGACAGCAUUAAAGAUACAAGAGUGCCCAAUGCUGUCCAAAAGUGCUUAUCUACAAUGGAUCCAUGUUCCGGUCUUCCAGAUGAACAGUGUAACAGAGAGUGUGACAGGAAUGUAUAAGGUCUUCUUGACAACAACAUUCCUGAGAUAUCACAGUGCUGUUGCAACCAGUUCAUCACCACCUCAGAGAACAUCUUUAAAUAAUCCCAAGGAACAGGUGAUGAAAGGAUUCUAAGGAUGGACAAUUUGGGAAUAUUACAGGAAAAUGUGUUUAAGGAGAGAAGGGAUCUACCAAGAUUUAUCACAGUUACCAUCAGGAGUUUACACUGGUCUAAUAUAAUCUAAAUACCUUCUUACUGAGGCUCGAGUGAGUGCUGGAUCUGAUCGACAAGGAACACAGUUAAAUACAGUUACGUACAUCAGCAGUGGCACCAGGAGCUCACACACCUUUAGUGGAGAAAGUCUACAGACUGAACAGAAGGACUCUUACUCUGAAUGAGGAGUCGCACGUGUCUGAGGUCUGCCUUAUAGCACUGACAAGUGUAUAAACCUCUCCUGCUAUAAUCAGCUGCAGUAAUGGUGAGAGACAGAUUCCCCUUCAGGAACUGGUCAUGAGAGAGAAUAAAGCCUUCUUCAGAGCUGCAGGACAUCUGAUUACACUGAGCCACAGUCGCACGAAUCCUGCUCCAUCUGAGUACACCUGAACAUUUCUGCUCACAGAGUCGCCAGGUUUUUAUCCAACUUCAUCAUUGCCUCGUCAUCCAGCUCCUCAUCCUCGCUGACAUCCACCUCAGUGGCCUGAAGACCAGAAUAUAACCAGAGUUUCAUCAUCACGCCUCAGGACUUGUAGCUGAUUUAUUUUUAUGAAACAGGAUGUUAUUUUGUUUUAGGCAAAUAUCAGUCAAUUACGCUUUCAAAGGAUAAAGUGAAAUGAUUUGUCCCUGAAACUGAAACACUGAAACUGAAAAACCUGUGUGACUCAGUAACAGAUUAUGACUCACUUUAGUGAAUAGAUUCUUCUGAAGCACUUUGGAGUUUUGAUAAAUCUGAUUUAUUUACAGGUUCACACCUCCACCAUAUGUAUAUAUAAUCAUGUAUUUAUCAUUAAUCAUAAAGCAUAAAUAUAACUAAACAAUGUUUUGAUUAAUCACUCAAGUGAUUCACCUGAUUCACUCAAUAAUCAUACAAAAUGAAUAGUUCAGAACGACUCAUUGA